rnacentral:snRNA from 1 species
GGAUGUGAUGGUGAUCUGGCUCUUAAAUUUGUCACUCCAUUGAACUUCAGGGCUGAUCUGGCUGAUCUUCCUUUCUAGGUAAGUGCCCGCUGCCUCCCCCAGUGCUCCGUGUGCAACCCUCCCAAAGAUGUGCUCUUGGUUGCUUGAGGAGGGCGACCACCCCUAUAGUGGAGGGCAGUUUCUAGGUCAAGGGUAUAAGAAUAGCUGUGCUCCCCUACAGAGCCUCCAGACAAGCUCCCCAAAAGUAAAUCAAUAAGUCUAAAAGUAACUUAAAUGACACCUGGAGGUUUUGCUU